UACAUAUUUCUGAAGAGCUGCUUGAGAGGCACAGAAGUUAGAAAGAUGCAAGUUCUUGAAGACAGAAUAAUCCCACUACGCAGAAAACAGGAAAGAGAAUGAUGAAGAUUAUCACCACUGAAAUAGUUGUGGAGUUACUGCAUUCCUCUGCCUGUGGCAUGAUGGGCUCAGCAGCAGUAAGUUCAGCACAUACAACUCUUAGAGACAGAGCUUGACUUGAACAGCACAAAAUAUCCCACACUGGAAGAGCUAUCAUAGUCAAUGCAACAACAACAUUUUCUAGUGUGCUACUUGCUCCCAUUUAACAGACUUCAUUGCUUUCACAGUGCGGCUUCUAUAAUCAGCUGUGUCAAUGGAAGUGUAGCAGCAGAGAAACAGAAAUGAAGGUUGAGGCGAUCUUCAGUCACCCAUGUGUAUUGAGAAGAGGACACUUGCUUGUGGUUUGUGUAUUGUUGCUCUUUGUCUGGUAGCCACAUACCUGUGGUCUCUAAGAGUUUGCUCAAUGGAUCUCCAAGGAAAGAGGUCUUUUUGAAAUGGCUAGAGGUGUGGGCUUCAGAGAUGGUUAUCUCAAAGUCCUAACAAAAUAACUGCUGCACAGGCUUUCUGCCAAAAUGACUUCUCUGUGUGUGAAUGAAAGUUGGGCUGGGCAUGGGUUCUCAUCUCAGCAAUACUUGUUCAGCACACAUUAACAUUUGUAAAAGAGGAAACACAUACCUUACGGUACAUGGUUUUGCCACAGACAAUUUUUUGUAACCUUAGAAAGAUAUUUAAGCUCUCAGGCUCUAGUUCUUUAUCUGCCCAGUAGGAACAGAGGCUCUUCUUUUACCAAUAUUAAGUCAAUUCUGCACAGCAAGGGCUGACUCUUGCUUCAUGCAUGUGUGCAGAGUGCAUAAGACAUUGAGGUUAAAGUCUGAGACUUAUAUCUGCUACCCUUAAAAUAAAAAAUCUCCAUAUUUGAAGUGUUGACAUCAAUGGGAGCUGAUGUAGCUCAGCAGGAGUUCCAAUGGGAGCUCAAACUGUUAAAAUUUGACUCAACAGCUCAGAGCCCUCAGUAUCCUAUUUGGUAAGUGUGGUGUUGGUGGGAAUAAACAUACCCAAUUACUACAGCACAUGGCCUAUAUAUUUUGUCCAUCAUACUCCUCACAGGCUGUCUUUGGUGCUGGUUUCAAAUGGUUCCCAUGUUGGGGAUUUCACACUACUGAUGCUCAGCUAUAAUUACUCCAGGAUUUCCAAAAACUAACCACGGGACUUUCUCAUACACAACCAUACUCUCAGGCUUCUACCUGCCCUUCGCCUCCAAUGACAGGAUAGUGCUGUUUUCUUCCAUCAGGUUAUCUCACCUGCCUGAUAACAAGGAAAAUUAUCUCAGCUUGUCUCAGAGCCAACCUUCCUGCUCUCUUUGUGGUAACAGUCUAAAUUAUAGCUAAUAUUUAACAACUAACGGCUUCCCAAAAAUGAAAGUGAAAGACUGGCUACUUGGAGCAAAGACAUCCAAGAAGGAACAUAUUUUAAGAAAUAAUAACCAGUAAUAAAGACAGUGCACAUGUUUACUUACCAGUCACGUAAUGAUCACCUAUGCUGACAUGUCAGAAAUUCUUUGUCAUUGACAUUCCUGUAACUGCCCAAAAAGGGAUUUAAGCCCCUCUUUGUCUGACAACACCCCACUCUGACAAAGCAUAAAAAAGGGACACACUGGUGAGAACUAAUGGCUUUCCAUCUUUCAAGUGUGUACCUAGAUCUUCUUAUCUGGGAAGUCAUUGUAUUGCUUCCCUGUUUGUUCUUCCCAGAGCCUUACUGCAUCAAGUUAUUCAUGCAGGUAAGGUUUAUGACCUCAAUAAACAGUCUUCCCUCACUUCCCAGAACACAAAAUAACUGUUCCUAAACUUUACCAAGUAAUGGUGACACAGCAGUUAACAUCAUGUUGUGUCCACCAUUCCCACCAACAGCCUGCUCCAACAUUGAAAGGUUAACACCAACAAUUUGGUUUUCAUAAUUUCCCUGUCUGCAUAUCAACCCCUUGCUCCAUGCUAAAUAAGUGAUUUCUCUGCUUUCUGAUAACUUCCCUGCAACUAUUCAUAGACUGUUACUAGGUUGCCCAUGUUGUGGUUUCAGAGCCAAGCCAUUCAUCUUUACUCAUGACUCAUCAACUGUUUCCUUCAGCCAAUUAAUCAUGAAGCUGGGUUUUCCCCAGCAUACCUUCCCUGGCUCAUCUGUAUCUUUUGGGUAAUGAGGUACCCUGAAGUGAGUGCAGCAUCCCAGGUGUGGUCUCCCCAGGCCCAUCAAGUGAAUGAGUCUCACCUUUCUGCUCCCUGACAUCACUCCUCUGGGUCUCCAGCCCAACCUCACGAUCAUGGUUCAGCUUCUGCAGCACCCUGCAAUUUCACGGCUCUGCUUGAUGUCCAUGCUCACCACGAUAUCUUCAUCAGCCUGAGAGAGCCACGGCCAGGAAACCAGUGGAGAAAUCAUCUCACGCAGGCUUUCUUUGUGGUGUGACAUGCAGGGCAACAGCCAAGGGAGCAGAGACAAGAGUGAGGACAGCCAGAGGCCUGGGAAAGGUGACAGAACAAAACCAGGAAAAGGACAUGCCCUCACCAGGUGACACUGGUUAGUUGUUUAUCAAUAAGAUCAAAAUAAAUGGGAAAUCAAACUCAGUGGUAUUUUCAGCUUCCACCCAACCACACGGAACCAGAUGUAAACACCGUCCCAAAUCCCCAUCACAUCCGAGUACACUUCGUCCCUUCACAGCCAAGGGGAACAGAAGAGCCUCAAAGUAAAAGCAAACUUUUUCUUGGCAUUAUGCUUUGCAAUAACAUUGUCAUUCUGAUAGAAAAUAAAAUAAAACAAAACAAUUCCAAGCAUUUGAAAAAACAAUAUCCUACAGUUAACAAACUCCAUAAGAUAAUUAGUACUGUAGCAAGAAAAGACAGAAUUUUAAUUUUUCAACUCAUUUUGUAGCACCUGUGUAUUUUCUCCUCUUUCACCUAUGAAUACUCUUAAUUUGCAGCUGAUUUAGUUUAGUUGAUUGAUGAUAAGGAACUGUUUAGGAGAUUUGCAUUAAUUUUUCCUUCUAUUUUUUUAAUUUCUGCUCCUUUUGCAUCUCUUUUUCCCUCUAAGCUUUGCAACAUUUCUCCAUUAUUACAACUAUGUAAAGGACAUGUGGAGAUACUUCAGUCAAUAUAUUAAAAAAAAAAACUCCAAACCCUGAGAAUAAGGAGAAGAUUUCAUUCUUUCCUUUCUUGUUUUUCAUCAUUUAUUCAUUUUUUUUUCCCUAAAAAAAAUUGUUUGGAAAUUUAAAAAUCCUUUUGUUAACACUUUUUUUUUGGCCUGGAUGUUCAACCAAAUACCUUUCAGAAGGGAGGUGCAUUAGAAAUAAGAUCAUUAUUAGAAAAUACAUCUGAUUCAAUACAGUUCACUCUCCUGUGAGCAGAGACCCUUACUAGUUCAAAUGAGGAUUUGAGAUGAGUUCUGCUGCAUUGACACAAUCCUUUAUGCUAUAGGUGAGCGCGAUAACCUUAAGUAACUGAAAAUACAAUCACUUAGGUCAGUGAAAAGAAGCUGUUUGCUAAACACAAACACACCCUUUUCAUUUUCUUCUGGAAAUCUGGGCAUGUUUAAUAAGAAUUUACAUGAAUUUGAAAUUGUCUAUCUUGGGCACCUUGGGCACUGCUGAACAAUCAAGCAUCCCCAGAACUGAAAACUCAGAGGUUGCUGGAAAUGAAAGAACUGACAUACAAAUCAAGAUGUUAUUUUUAGAAAUAAUAAAAAUGAGAUAGUUUUUAUCUCUUCUCUGUUGUGCAACUUGACCUCUUUGUCCAUAACUGCAAAAAAAUGCAAACACGUUUUGAUUUAGUUUAGUUCAUAAUCUAAAAUUUAGAAGCUCACACAAUUCCAGCAGCUGGAACUCAGAAAAAUAUUGCAAAACCCAUGAUACAGUCACUACAGGUGGCAUCUCUGAAGAAUUAAAUUGUUCCAUUCAGCAUAAUCUUUUAGUACACAGAAUUUAAAUGCAUGAAGACCUGAAUACAUCUUCAAAUACCCACGGAAAAAUCUCUGAUGGAAAAACUGUCCUCUUACAGUCACCGACUUGUCCCAUAAGGGCUCUGGGGAAUUCUUGUUUUGGAGGAGACAAGACUAGAAUGAAGGUGAGCAUAGGGGAAACAAAAAGAAUGUAAAGUCCAGGACUUUGCUCUUUACAAUGAAGAUUUCAAUACACCCCUUCCUCACCAUUUCCUCUAUGAUAACAUCAUCCUGCUUACCUGGAGGGCUUUGGUUUUCGGUGUGAGGGGGUUUAUUGUUGAUGUUGUGUUUUGGUUUGGUUUGGGUUUUGGUGGCUUUUUUUAGUUUUUGUGGGCUUUUGUUUGUUUGUUUAUUUUUUUUUUCUUUUUUAACUCACUCUUAUCUUGUGUGAACACAGGGAGGGAAUAAUAACUUCUCAUCACAAUGUAUUUUUGCAAUGGCUGGAGCCCAGCCUCAGUGCUGUGUGUUAUCACCCUCUCCUCCUCUCUUUGAGUCCAGGAGCCUUUUGAUCUCUGUAGUAGCAAUUGUCACAGACUGCAGGGAAGUAUUUUGUGGCUUUUGAUAUGUACUGGAUGUAGUAUGGAUUUUCUACUGAUCCAUUUGGAAGUUUGAGGUAUCAGGAGACUAGACUUAGAGGACCUGAAGGAGUCCUGCUUGUCUUAUGCUCCAAAUUUGAUUUCUGUCCAGAACAUGAAAAAGAGAGAAUCUGCUCAUUCUCUAUUUUUGGGAUUAAGGACUAUUUACAGUUGCUCUGGAGUCUAGAGUCUGUCCAAAGUAUUUUAGCAGAUGCUUUGUGUGGUCUUUGAACUCUUGCAAGCCACAAGGGAAGGAAAAAAGAAGAGGAUUUCUGCAUUUUAAGGCCAAGGGCUUUUUGGAUUAUGUAGAAUCAUCUCCAAUGUAAACCAAUUGCAAGGUUUCCAUUCAGUUCCUUCUGUCCUAGGCUCAGCUGCUUGUGUCAAAGAUGCCAAGCACUUGGAGAUGAUGACAGGUAAGGGAAAGAGAUGCAUAUGGUUAAAACAUAGCGAGUAGCAUCCGGAUGCUGCAUAUGAAAUAGGACGUGUGAUGUUGUAAUGGAAGAGUGGCAUCUGUUCCCUGGCUGCAGAGCGUUGGUGGUCCUUACAGCUGUUCCCUGGAAGACUUGUCUGGCAUUCGCAGUCUCAGACUUGAUAACAUGAGUCCCUGGUGGCCUUGGAGAAACAUAGAAGGAUUUCAGAUUUCUGUUGGCCACAGAAGAUUGGGAGUCACGGACUUUGUCCAAGCAGAGUCGCAUUCCCCAGGGGCCACUGAUGACAGCACAGCUAAAGUGGAACUUCAUCUUUUCCAACCUGCCUGUGGUCUACCACACAAUUUGUUUGUUAUGCUGAGCCUGAUAAAGCUUACCACUCAGAUCCAGCAGCAGCUGUCCCUUGAGGUACAAAUUAGGCUACUCACUUGGGCAACAGACUGCAGGGGACACCAAGUGAGACGUGACCCCACUGCUUAUGUCUGCUGUGAAACAGCAGCCAGGCUGGGCUGAAGACUGGCCAUACUUGAAGCACAUCCCUUCAUCUCUUAAGCAACAGCACAGGCAGUAACUCUGGAUCUCAAAGGCCUUUCUCACAGUUGGAUUCGAUGAUCUUAAAGGUCUUUUCCAACCCAGAUGAUUCUAUGAUUACCUUUCCCUUCCCUAAGCAGGUUAACCUGGAGCUGACCCUUCAUUCUUUACCCUGUUUUCCACUGCCCAGCUGAGACAAGUGACCGGUUAUAAGUAAACUCCUCCUUUGCUCCUGUCCAGUGAAAAGCCCAGUGAGCUUCAAACUCCACCUGGAAAAGGUAUUUUCCAAGGGCAAUCCCUGGUUCAGCCUACAUAUGCUCACUUCUUUUUGGCAAGCCAAGUGCCCUGCAGCGUAUCUGCUGAACGGACUCAGCUGGGACACCACAGAGUCUCAGACGACCUCCCAGGGCCUGGACAAGACUGGUCAAUAAUGGUGUUAUUAGUUAAACUUCAGGGACAUCCAAUGGGUGUUGGUGACUCAUCUCAGCCGUCUGAAAGUGACCCAGUCACACUUGGAUCCCCACAUUCUCAAUGGAGAGAAAUAAAUUUCUCAGGCACAGGCUGUCUGACCUAUUCUAUCAUGUAUUUUAGGAAGAGAUGGUGAUCUCCACUGAGUGGGUUCACUGUACCUCCACUGAUUAUGAAAGGAGAAGCCAACUCUGAAAAAGAUUCUACAGUAUCUAAAGUUACAUGAGAGGAACCCCAGCCCUGGUCUUCAUCUGGAGACUAUCAAGUAGUGCAUGACCGAAGACUUCCUUAUUAGCAUGAGUUCAGUUGCUCCUCUGCUACUGGUAGGUAUUUAAAUAUGGCUACUCAGCAAAGUAGGAACCAUUUGAUGAAUGAAGCUUUGCAGCAAUAGCUCCAGUGGUCCAUCUUCACAAAUUUAAGUAGAGCUGUUGAAAGGUGAGAAAGUACUUGUGCUGUAAACAUGGGAACAUACUACUAAAUGACAUGCCCACCCACUUCUUGGUCUCUUUCCACUGCCAAAGCAGUAAAAAGGGACCUUAGUGUAAGUGUGAAUCCAGCUCUUGGAAUGUUUUUCCAUUUCCUUGUAUUUACGUUAAUGAACACUG